rnacentral:rRNA from 1 species
CCUACGGGAGGCAGCAGUGAGGAAUAUUGGUCAAUGGGCGAGAGCCUGAACCAGCCAAGUAGCGUGAAGGAUGACUGCUCUAUGGGUUGUAAACUUCUUUUAUAUAGGAAUAAAGUGAGGAACGUGUUCCUUUUUGUAUGUACUAUAUGAAUAAGCAUCGGCUAACUCCGUGCCAGCAGCCGCGGUAAUACGGAGGAUCCGAGCGUUAUCCGGAUUUAUUGGGUUUAAAGGGUGCGUAGGUGGGUUAUUAAGUCAGUUGUGAAAGUUUGUGGCUCAACCGUAAAAUUGCAGUUGAAACUGGUUGUCUUGAGUACAGUUGAGGUAGGCGGAAUGCGUGGUGUAGCGGUGAAAUGCUUAGAUAUCACGAAGAACUCCGAUUGCGAAGGCAGCUUACUAAACUGCCACUGACACUGAAGCACGAAAGUGUGGGGAUCAAACAGGAUUAGAUACCCGUGUAGUC